GAGAGUAUAGCUCAGUAGUAGAGUGCAUGCUUAGCAUGUGUGAGGACCUGGGUUCAAUCCCCAGUACCUCCA
rnacentral:tRNA from 1 species